CAGUCCAAUUCAGUGUGAUACAGUGAAGAGCUCCCAGUUUAAAUGUGUAUUCAAAAGGUUGCUUGGAGCUUCGCACAUCUGCAGCGAAUAAUUAAUACUCUUUUGAAUCUGCUUCCUCCUCCUUCACUUUACCCGGCUGCCAGAAUCCACCUACAAAUACAUGGAAGAUGUCCAGCAGCACGCACUGAGGUUGGAGGAUCCUCCUAAAAUGUGACUUGCCACCAGUUGCUGGAUGACUUAGCUGCUCUUCACAACUUCACAAAAGCAGGAUCUUACCCUCAGAACUUGCUGUGUACCAACUGACUGCUUUAUUUCCUAAAUUACAACUGAGUGACAGAAUGAUUACAGUGCAAGAGGGCAUUCAGCCCAUCAUGGCUACCCCUGCUCUAUUGUCUGGUGCCUAUCACCUGCACAUCAUUACCAUCCACAUAGGCACCUUGGACUGGAGACAGUAGCAAUCCACGUGACUUGAAUAAUAGAAGAGGGACAAUCUGCCAAAGAUCCUUCUCCGAUCCCAAGGAGAGAAAUGUUUACAUUCUGAUCAUGUGCAGUCUUCCCCACUUGGGUCUAACAGAUUAGAAAUCUCAGUGCGUAAGAAUAUUCCUGAAUUUCUCGGGCAGCUACAGUCAAAGUUGCUGCCCUGUGCCCUGAUGCCUUUCCUGGGGGAGAUCUACGCUAAUGAAAUCUGAUGUAACCAGGACAGGAUACACAGUCUAGCCCCGAGCUGUGGAUUAAACCUGGAAAUCAGGCAGAUAUCGUUGCAAUUCAUCAUGUUAUUGUGCAUGCUGACUGCUGACUGUUAUCAAAUUUGUAAGAAACACAAUAAAGAAAUAUUGUUAA